AGUGAACGCUGGCGGUAGGCCUAACACAUGCAAGUCGAACGGCAGCACAGUAAGAGCUUGCUCUUACGGGUGGCGAGUGGCGGACGGGUGAGGAAUACAUCGGAAUCUACUUUUUCGUGGGGGAUAACGUAGGGAAACUUACGCUAAUACCGCAUACGACCUACGGGUGAAAGCAGGGGAUCUUCGGACCUUGCGCGAUUGAAUGAGCCGAUGUCGGAUUAGCUAGUUGGCGGGGUAAAGGCCCACCAAGGCGACGAUCCGUAGCUGGUCUGAGAGGAUGAUCAGUCACACUGGAACUGAGACACGGUCCAGACUCCUACGGGAGGCAGCAGUGGGGAAUAUUGGACAAAGGGCGCAAGCCUGAUCCAGCCAUACCGCGUGGGUGAAGAAGGCCUUCGGGUUGUAAAGCCCUUUUGUUGGGAAAGAAAAGCAGCAGGUUAAUACCCCGCUGUUCUGACGGUACCCAAAGAAUAAGCACCGGCUAACUUCGUG
rnacentral:rRNA from 1 species